CUGCAGGCUCUGGAGUGAGUCCAUUUCUGAGUUCCUACUUGCUAAGGUGACCCUUACAGACAUUUCCAAACCCAGGGCAGCUGUAUCUCCUUGCCUUUCCCAACCAAGUUAUCUGACACUCAAGAUUCUAUGACCUCAGAAGAAUUAUGACUGCCCAGUCAAACAAAGCGUUGAUAACACCACGCCCUGCACUUUUCACCUGAGCAAAUGUCACCAAGCCCUCACGUGUGCCAUCUGCCUGGCAUAUAUUAAAAACUGACAUGCCAAACUUGCCUUCUUACAGAAUUACCUCGGAAAUAGAGCUGAGAUUCCAGGGGUCCUGGCCUUGAAGAGAAUCUAAUCCAAGAAGACAAGCGGAACCGAGAAGCCUAGGAAGACUUAAAGUUGGCAGGAAAAAAUUCACAGCUAAUUUGGGGGAUAAACAGAAAAAUGGUUCUGCAAAAUGUGAACACAUUUUUCCAAGUGCUACAAGCAGAGGAAGGGGCCGGGAUGGGGGUGUGUAAGGAGGGGAACUGCCCUUUCCACCUUCCCUUUCCUCUCUUAGGCUUAGCAUUCAACAGCAAUCGAAACAUCCACAAAGAAGAUGAAUAUUCCCCACCCUGGCACUCCUGUAGCUUUAGCCCAUGCAUAUUAUGUCUCCAACCAGGCCAGAGUUUCCUACUAAUUUUUUAAAAUUCAUUCUUUAAAAAGAUCUAUUUAUUUAUUUUUGAGAGGGUGGGAGGGGCAUAUGGAGAGGGAGAGAAAAGUCACAAGCAGACUCCCACAAUGCUGAGAUGAGGCCCUGAGCUGAAACCGAGAGUAUAACGUUUAACUGACUGUGCCAUCCAGACACCCCUUAAAAUUCAUUUUGGUUGCUCAUGACUCCCUUUUACUACUUUUAUCAGCUUUGUGUCCUGAAAUUUCUCUUUGCAUGGUAUGCCCUCCCUCUACCAUAGCUAAAGGAGAACUAAAAUUGUCUUUGUCUCCAGAGUGGGAAAGGACCCAGCUAUAUGGGAUAGUAUCUAUUCCUUCCUGUGUAAUUGAUUAUUAAACACUUGAUUUUUUUUUAAGAUUUAUUUAUCUAUUUUAGAAAGAGAGAGAGUACACGCCCAUGGGAGCUGGAAAUAGAGGGAGAGGGAGAGAGAGAAUCUCAAGCAUUCCAUUGAGCUCUGAACCCAUUCAGGACCCUGAGAUCAUGACCUGAGCUGCAAUCAAGAGUCGGACACUCAACCAACUGAGUCACCCAGGUGUCCCUUAAACCCUUGCUUUUUAAAGGAAAUGUAAUACCGACAUUUCUAUCUCAUUUACACUUGGUUUAAGAAAGUGUUUUUUCUAAGAACAAUAUGAACUUGUGUGAUGCAUAGCCAUCUUGAGCAUCUAGAAGUUUUCUAGAAGACAUGUGCCUUCUCAGCAGCUUUCUCAUGAGCCUCGGAGUGUCUUCUAUUUCCUAAGUAGGAAGCAAUAUCUUCUCACACUAAGUUGAAAAUCUAAUUAAAUCCAAUUCACUUCUCUAACAUCAAUAAACUUAGACUCCAGCAGGUCAUGUCACUAGAAAGCCACAUGUUGAAUUCUGUAGGUUCUGUUAGCCUCUUGUAGCAAUGCUGAGGACAUGGGCUCUAGGGCCAGAUUCCCUGCAUUGGAAUCCUACCUUACCCUCUUCAGUUGUAAAUAUUCAAUGCGAUAAAACAGGCAAUCACAUAGCAUGGUGCCUGACCCGCACCACUGAGUUAACAUUAGUGGUCACCUCUGGGCUUUUGCAUGAUUUUGGUAAUCAUCAGGACCAAUCUAAGAAAUUACUUAGGAAUCACAGAAAGAUGUUUCUGCAAUUACUGUAAAGCUUCUUUUGAAGAUACCACCCACUUUGCCUUUCAAUAUCUCUUGUGGAAAAUACUCCUUUGUUAAAUUCAUGUGCAGUCAUUUAAGUUAGAAAAACAAAUCUAUUUUUCCUGAUGAACUGAUAGGCUUCUUUUAAGGAAGUCACUGCAGAUGAACGACUGAUUUUUAGUUCUUUGCUGUGGCUGCCAGAAAGUCAGGGUUUAUGUUCAGUUGUGGUAACAAUCCCGAGCUUAAUAGUAAUAGCCAAAUAAUAACUCAUGUUGCAAAAGAAUAAAGCUGAUGUUUCAGAGCAUUUUGGAGUAUUAUUAUCUGAUUAUGUGCACUAGCUCCAGAGUGAAAACUAGAGGAGGGCUAUUACUACUAAAAAAUCUACCUGAAAUUAAUAGCCAGGCUGUUUCAGAGCCCGCUGCUUUAUGCCUGCCCUGACCGUGACCUAUGAUACAUCCUCCUGAAAGAAACUAAGUGAAAGUAUUGUCUAAAGGUACAGAUUUUGGCAGCUGUUAAAAUUACACAGUAAUUGUCCAUUCACACUGUGUUGAGUUACCGUAAUGAAUUUACUGCUAGUGCAGAAGAAAGGAAACCAGCAUUGGUGAAACUAGCCGUUGAUGAAUACUCAUUAAGUCAA